AUUGAACGCUGGCGGCAGGCUUAACACAUGCAAGUCGAGCGGGGGAGGUAGCUUGCUACCGGACCUAGCGACGGACGGGUGAGUAAUGCUUAGGAAUCCGCCUAUUAGUGGGGGACAACAUCUCGAAAGGGAUGCUAAUACCGCAUACGUCCUACGGGAGAAAGCAGGGGAUCUUCGGACCUUGCGCUAAUAGAUGAGCCUAAGUCGGAUUAGCUAGUUGGUGGGGUAAAGGCCUACCAAGGCGACGCUCUGUAGCGGGUCUGAGAGGAUGAUCCGCCACACUGGGACUGGGACACGGCCCAGACUCCUACGGGAGGCAGCAGUGGGGAAUAUUGGACAAUGGGGGGAACCCUGAUCCAGCCAUGCCGCGUGUGUGAAGAAGGCCUUAUGGUUGUAAAGCACUUUAUGCGAGGAGGAGGCUACUUUAGUUAAUACCUAGAGAUAGUGGACGUUACUCGCAGAAUAAGCACCGGCUAACUCAGUGCCAGCCGCCGCAGUAA
rnacentral:rRNA from 1 species